UACGUAGGUGACAAGCGUUGUCCGGAUUUACUGGGCGUAAAGAGCGCGCAGGCGGUCGAUCAAGUCGAGUGUGAAAGCCCCCGGCUCAACUGGGGAGGGUCAUUCGAUACUGAUCGACUCGAAGGCAGGAGAGGGUAGUGGAAUUCCCGGUGUAGUGGUGAAAUGCGUAGAUAUCGGGAGGAACACCAGCGGCGAAGGCGGCCCCCUGGGCCGCUCCUGACGCUGAGACGCGAAGGCCAGGGUAGCGAACGGG
rnacentral:rRNA from 1 species